GGCACCAUGAUCAUUAUAUUGACAGUCAGCUUUUCAAAGACUUCAUUCUAAAUGUGUAUUGACAUUCCUAGUACUGAUAUAUUUCAUUAUUCUCAUUAAUUUUACUAUUAGUAAAACACCAAUAAAUACAAUAUGAAUAACUAUGAUUACUGUACUGUUAGGACAGGUAUAUGUCUUUUCAUUUGAUUACAGGUAUGAGCAGUCCUCCAGCUCCAUCUACUGGACACUUGUAGAUAUUUCCUGGUGUUAGUUAUUUGUUUAAUAAAGUUAGUUAUUGACCUCUGAUGUCAUAACUCCAGGUCACAGGAAGUAGGUGUUUCCAGCCUGUGCAGUUCAUCUCAUGUGCUUUCAGCUUUCUCCAUGCUAAACAGGCCCUAUGCAGCAUUGUUGUUUUACCCUUUCAUCUUUAAAUACCCAUUAAACAAGUUAACAACUUA